GAACGCCGGCGGCGUGCUAAUACAUGCAAGUAGAACGCUGAAGAGAGGNCUUGCUCUUCUUGGAUGAGUUGCGAACGGGUGAGUAACGCGUAGGUAACCUGCCUUGUAGCGGGGGAUAACUAUUGGAAACGAUAGCUAAUACCGCAUAACAAUGGAUGACACAUGUCAUUUAUUUGAAAGGGGCAAUUGCUCCACUACAAGAUGGACCUGCGUUGUAUUAGCUAGUAGGUGAGGUAACGGCUCACCUAGGCGACGAUACAUAGCCGACCUGAGAGGGUGAUCGGCCACACUGGGACUGAGACACGGCCCAGACUCCUACGGGAGGCAGCAGUAGGGAAUCUUCGGUAAUGGGGGCAACCCUGACCGAGCAACGCCGCGUGAGUGAAGAAGGUUUUCGGAUCGUAAAGCUCUGUUGUAAGUCAAGAACGAGUGUGAGAGUGGAAAGUUCACACUGUGACGGUAGCUUACCAGAAAGGGACGGCUAACUACGUGCCAGCAGCCGCGGUAAUACGUAGGUCCCGAGCGUUGUCCGGAUUUAUUGGGCGUAAAGCGAGCGCAGGCGGUUUGAUAAGUCUGAAGUUAAAGGCUGUGGCUCAACCAUAGUUCGCUUUGGAAACUGUCAAACUUGAGUGCAGAAGGGGAGAGUGGAAUUCCAUGUGUAGCGGUGAAAUGCGUAGAUAUAUGGAGGAACACCGGUGGCGAAAGCGGCUCUCUGGUCUGUAACUGACGCUGAGGCUCGAAAGCGUGGGGAGCGAACAGGAUUAGAUACCCUGGUAGUCCACGCCGUAAACGAUGAGUGCUAGGUGUUGGAUCCUUUCCGGGAUUCAGUGCCGCAGCUAACGCAUUAAGCACUC
rnacentral:rRNA from 1 species